rnacentral:rRNA from 1 species
UAGCCAUGCAUGUCUAAGUAUAAGCACUUGUACUGUGAAACUGCGAAUGGCUCAUUAAAUCAGUUAUCGUUUAUUUGAUUGUACCUUACUACAUGGAUACCUGUGGUAAUUCUAGAGCUAAUACAUGCGAAAAGUCCCAACUUCUGGAAGGGAUGUAUUUAUUAGAUUAAAAACCAAUGCAAGUCUUCGGGCUCGUUUUCUUGGUGAUUCAUGAUAACUUUUCGAAUCGCAUGGCCUAGAGCCGGCGAUACUUCAUUCAAAUUUCUGCCCUAUCAACUGUCGAUGGUAAGGUAGUGGCUUACCAUGGUUAUAACGGGUGACGGAGAAUUAGGGUUCGAUUCCGGAGAGGGAGCCUGAGAAACGGCUACCACAUCUAAGGAAGGCAGCAGGCUCGAAAAUUACCCAAUCCCGACUCGGGGAGGUAGUGACAAGAAAUAACGAUACGGGGUCUUAAUAGGUCUCGCAAUUGGAAUGAGUACAAUUUAAAUCCUUUAACGAGGAUCAAUUGGAGGGCAAGUCUGGUGCCAGCAGCCGCGGUAAUUCCAGCUCCAAUAGCGUAUAUUAAAGUUGUUGCAGUUAAAAAGCUCGUAGUUGGAUUUCGGAGUGGGCCAGUUGGUCCGCCGCAAGGUGUGUUACUGACUGGUUUGCUCUUCUUCGCAAAGACUGCGUGUGCUCUUGAGUGAGUGUGCGUAGAAUUUACGACGUUUACUUUGAAAAAAUUAGAGUGUUCAAAGCAGGCUAUUGCUUGAAUACAUGAGCAUGGAAUAAUGGAAUAGGACUUUGGUCCCAUUUUGUUGGUUUCUAGGGCCGAAGUAAUGAUUAAGAGGGACAAUUGGGGGCAUCCGUAUUUCGUUGUCAGAGGUGAAAUUCUUGGAUUUACGAAAGACGAACAACUGCGAAAGCACUUGCCAAGAGUGUUUUCAUUAAUCAAGAACGAAAGUUAGAGGAUCGAAGACGAUCAGAUACCGUCUAGUCUACCAUAAACGAUGUCGACUAGGGAUCAGCGGGCGUUAUCGUACGACCCGUUGGCACUUACGGGAAACCAAAGUUUUG